rnacentral:rRNA from 1 species
UGGAAUAACUCCGGGAAACCGGGGCUAAUGCCGGAAAACAUUUAGAACCGCAGGGUUCUAAAGUGAAAGAUGGUUUUGCUAUCACUUAUAAAUGGACCCGCGCCGUAUUAGCUAUUUGGUAAGGUAACGGCUUACCAAGGCAACGAUACGUAGCCGACCUGAGAGGGUGAUCGGCCACACUGGAACUGAGACACGGUCUAGACUCCUACGGGAGGCAGCAGUAGGGAAUCUUCCGCAAUGGGCGAAAGCCUGACGGAGCAACGCCGCGUGAGUGAUGAAGGUCUUCGGAUCGUAAAACUCUGUUAUUAGGGAAGAACAAAUGUGUAAGUAACUAUGCACGUCUUGACGGUACCUAAUCAGAAAGCCACGGCUAACUACGUGCCAGCAGCCGCGGUAAUACGUAGGUGGCAAGCGUUAUCCGGAAUUAUUGGGCGUAAAGCGCGCGUAGGCGGUUUCUUAAGUCUGAUGUGAAAGCCCACGGCUCAACCGUGGAGGGUCAUUGGAAACUGGGAAACUU